AGGUUAAGUGAAGAAGGGCACACGGUGGAUGCCUUGGCACUAGAAGCCGACGAAGGACGGGACUAACGCCGAUAUGCUUUGGGGAGCUGUACGUAAGCUAUGAUCCAGAGAUUUCCGAAUGGGGCAACCCAGCAGCUUUCAUAGGCUGUUACUUUUACGUGAAUACAUAGCGUAUUAGAGGUAGACGCAGAGAACUGAAACAUCUAAGUACCUGCAGGAAGAGAAAGAAAAUUCGAUUUCCUUAGUAGCGGCGAGCGAAACGGAAAGAGCCCAAACCAACAAGCUUGCUUGUUGGGGUUGUAGGACUCAGCCAUGGUAGUGUUGAAUGAUAGUCGAAUCGACCUGGAAAGGUCAGCCGGAGUGGGUAAAAGCCCCGUAGGCGAAAUCAGUCGCACACCUAUGAGUAUCCUGAGUACGGCGGAACACGUGAAAUUCCGUCGGAAUCCGGGAGGACCAUCUCCCAAGGCUAAAUACUCUCUAGUGACCGAUAGUGAACCAGUACCGUGAGGGAAAGGUGAAAAGCACCCCGGAAGGGGAGUGAAAUAGAACCUGAAACCGUGUGCUUACAACAAGUCAAAGCCCGUUAAUGGGUGAUGGCGUGCCUUUUGUAGAAUGAACCGGCGAGUUACGAUUGCGUGCGAGGUUAAGCUGAAGAAGCGGAGCCGUAGCGAAAGCGAGUCUGAAUAGGGCGAAUGAGUACGUAGUCGUAGACCCGAAACCAUGUGAUCUACCCAUGUCCAGGUUGAAGGUGCGGUAAAACGCACUGGAGGACCGAACCCACGUACGUUGAAAAGUGCGGGGAUGAGGUGUGGGUAGCGGAGAAAUUCCAAACGAACUUGGAGAUAGCUGGUUCUCUCCGAAAUAGCUUUAGGGCUAGCCUCGGACGUGUAGAAUAAUGGAGGUAGAGCCACUGUUUGGACUAGGGGCCCAUCCCGGGUUACCGAAUUCAGAUAAACUCCGAAUGCCAUUAUUUCUGUCCGGGAGUCAGACUGUGAGUGAUAAGAUCCAUAGUCGAAAGGGAAACAGCCCAGACCACCAGCUAAGGUCCCAAAAUGUAUGUUAAGUGGAAAAGGAUGUGGGGUUGCACAGACAACUAGGAUGUUGGCUUAGAAGCAGCCACCAUUUAAAGAGUGCGUAAUAGCUCACUAGUCGAGUGACCCUGCGCCGAAAAUUUACCGGGGCUAAACAUACUACCGAAGCUGUGGAACGUUCCGUAUGGAACGUUGGUAGGAGAGCGUUCUAAGGGCGUUGAAGGUCGAUCGUGAGGACGGCUGGAGCGCUUAGAAGUGAGAAUGCCGGUAUGAGUAGCGAAAGACAGGUGAGAAUCCUGUCCACCGUAUGACUAAGGUUUCCUGGGGAAGGCUCGUCCUCCCAGGGUUAGUCGGGACCUAAGCCGAGGCCGAUAGGCGUAGGCGAUGGACAACAGGUUGAUAUUCCUGUACCAGUAGUAUUUGUUUGAGCAAUGGAGUGACGCAGGAGGUUAGGAGAAUCCACGCAGUUGGAAAAGCGUGGCCAAAUAGUGAGUCAGGUGAUGAGUCAAAUGCUUAUGACCGAGUUGACAAGCUAUGAUGGGGAGGGAAGUUUAGUACCGAAGUCUCUGACAUCACACUGCCAAGAAAAACUUCUAGUGAGAAGACUGCUGCCCGUACCGCAAACCGACACAGGUAGUCGAGGAGAGCAUCCUAAGGUGAGCGAGCGAACUCUCGUUAAGGAACUCGGCAAAAUGACCCCGUAACUUCGGGAGAAGGGGUGCUGACGCAAGUCAGCCGCAGUGAAUAGGCCCAGGCGACUGUUUAUCAAAAACACAGGUCUCUGCAAAAUCGAAAGAUGACGUAUAGGGGCUGACGCCUGCCCGGUGCUGGAAGGUUAAGAGGAUGGGUUAGCUUCGGCGAAGCUCAGAAUUGAAGCCCCAGUAAACGGCGGCCGUAACUAUAACGGUCCUAAGGUAGCGAAAUUCCUUGUCGGGUAAGUUCCGACCCGCACGAAAGGCGUAACGAUCUGGGCACUGUCUCAACGAGAGACUCGGUGAAAUUUUAGUACCUGUGAAGAUGCAGGUUACCCGCGACAGGACGGAAAGACCCCAUGGAGCUUUACUGUAAUUUGAUUUUGAUUGUUUGUGACACAUGUACAGGAUAGGUAGGAGCCUAAGAAGACGGUACGCUAGUAUCGUGUGAGGCGCUGGUGGGAUACUACCCUUGUGUUAUGACCAAUCUAACCCGCAGCACUUAUCGUGCUGGGAGACAUAGUCAGAUGGGCAGUUUGACUGGGGCGGUCGCCUCCUAAAAGGUAACGGAGGCGCCCAAAGGUUCCCUCAGAAUGGUUGGAAAUCAUUCGAAGAGUGCAAAGGCAGAAGGGAGCUUGACUGCGAGACCAACAAGUCGAGCAGGGACGAAAGUCGGGCUUAGUGAUCCGGUGGUUCCGCAUGGAAGGGCCAUCGCUCAACGGAUAAAAGCUACCCUGGGGAUAACAGGCUUAUCUCCCCCAAGAGUCCACAUCGACGGGGAGGUUUGGCACCUCGAUGUCGGCUCGUCGCAUCCUGGGGCUGUAGUCGGUCCCAAGGGUUGGGCUGUUCGCCCAUUAAAGCGGCACGCGAGCUGGGUUCAGAACGUCGUGAGACAGUUCGGUCCCUAUCCGUCGCGGGCGUUGGAAAUUUGAGAGGAGCUGUCCUUAGUACGAGAGGACCGGGAUGGACACACCGCUGGUGUACCAGUUGUUCUGCCAAGAGCAUCGCUGGGUAGCUACGUGUGGCCGGGAUAAACGCUGAAAGCAUCUAAGCGUGAAGCCCCCCUCAAGAUGAGAUUUCCCAUUUCUUUAAGAAAGUAAGACCCCUGAGAGACGAUCAGGUAGAUAGGUUGGGAGUGUAAGUGUAGCGAUACAUGUAGCGGACCAAUACUAAUCGGUCGAGGACUUAACCACAA
rnacentral:rRNA from 1 species